GAUGAACGCUGGCGGCGUGCUUAACACAUGCAAGUCGAACGGAAAGGCCCAAGCUUGCUUGGGUACUCGAGUGGCGAACGGGUGAGUAACACGUGGGUGAUCUGCCCUGCACUUCGGGAUAAGCCUGGGAAACUGGGUCUAAUACCGGAUAGGACCACUUCUUGGAUGUUGUGGUGGAAAGUUUUUUCGGUGUGGGAUGAGCUCGCGGCCUAUCAGCUUGUUGGUGGGGUAAUGGCCUACCAAGGCGUCGACGGGUAGCCGGCCUGAGAGGGUGUACGGCCACAUUGGGACUGAGAUACGGCCCAGACUCCUACGGGAGGCAGCAGUGGGGAAUAUUGCACAAUGGGCGCAAGCCUGAUGCAGCGACGCCGCGUGGGGGAUGACGGCCUUCGGGUUGUAAACUCCUUUCGCUAGGGACGAGGCGUUUUGUGACGGUACCUGGAGAAGAAGCACCGGCUAACUACGUG
rnacentral:rRNA from 1 species